rnacentral:rRNA from 1 species
GACGAACGCUGGCGGCGUGCUUAACACAUGCAAGUCGAACGGUAAGGCCCUUCGGGGUACACGAGUGGCGAACGGGGGAGUAACACGUGGGUGAUCUGCCCUGCACUUCGGGAUAAGCCUGGGAAACUGGGCCUAAUACCGGAUAGGACUCCUGGCUUCAUGGUUGGGGGUGGGAAGCUUUUGCGGUGUGGGAUGGGCCCGCGGCCUAUCAGCUUGUUGGUGGGGUAAUGGCUUACCAAGGCGACGACGGGUAGCCGGCCUGAGAGGGUGACCGGUCACACUGGGACUGAGAUACGGCCCAGACUCCUACGGGAGGCAGCAGUGGGGAAUAUUGCACAAUGGGCGCAAGCCUGAUGCAGCGACGCCGCGUGAGGGAUGACGGCCUUCGGGUUGUAAACCUCUUUCAGCUAUGACGAAGCGCAAGUGACGGUAGUAGCAGAAGAAGGACCGGCCAACUACGUGCCAGCCGCCGCCGUAA